GCGUCCCCAAAUUUUGCCAAUCCCAGUUUUUUUUGUUUAAUAUUUUUAUGUCAACCCGUUUUUGUUGCGGCAAAUAGGAAUUGGACGAACAGCAACCAUUCAACAACUCAUUGGAAAAUAAAACUGCUGAAGAAACCAGUUUUACCAAAAAUUCUGACUUCAUAAGACAAGACACAGGUGCUGGAAAUGAUGACUCAAUGCAUAAUACAAACACUCUGGAAAUUGAAUCUUUGCGUCACUAUCUUUUAUCCAUUAUAUAUAUGCCGAACUCCUUGAGGAUGAUUUGCUUGACUAAUCUUUUUUGUUGGAUGGCGCAUGUCUGCUACUCGCUGUAUUUUACGGAUUUUGUGGGAGAAGCUGUAUUCAAAGGGGAUCCACAGGCAACCUUAGGAUCUGAGCCUCAGCUUCGUUAUGAAGAGGGCGUCCGAUUUGGAUGUUGGGGCAUGGCAAUGUACUCUUUAUCGUGUUCUUUUUAUUCACUUAUCAUUGAAAAACUUAUUCAACGCUUUAGGGCUAAAUCUGUGUACGUUGGAGGACUUUUUUUCUAUUGUAUAGGAAUGUCCUUAAUGGCAAUCACGCGAGCAAAGUUGAGUGUUUUAGUAUUUAGUUGGACUGCGGGUAUUAUGUACUCUACACUUUUUACUAUGCCUUAUCUUCUUGUUGCUCACUAUCAUAAUGUUUCUACAUUUGAAAUUGAUGAAAAUGGUGCUCCGAAACUUGGAUCAGGACUACGCGGGUUGGGAACUGAUAUUGCUAUUAUAAGUAGCAUGGUUUUUUUAGCUCAAUUUAUUUUAUCUAUAUGUAUGGGUACAAUUAUUAAGGUAUCAGGAACUACGACUGCUGUUAUAAGUACCGCAAGCUUUUUGAGUUUUUGUGGAGCUUUUUCCGCAACCAAAAUUAUGUAUUUGGAUCUGUAAAUCAAAGUUGAAAUAAAAAAAUUAGUCCAUA